ensembl:lncRNA WEE2-AS1 WEE2 antisense RNA 1
GGAUUGCGUCAUUAGGCGAUUUUGUUGCUGUACGAACACCACAGAAUGUACUUUGACGACCUAGAUGGUGGAGCCUGGACACACCUCGGCUCUGUGGUGUGGCCUGCUGCUUCCAGGCUGCAAACCUGACAGCAUGGGGCUGUACUGAAUACCGCAGACCAUUGUAAUUCAUGGGGAAAGCGCGAAUGCAGUCCCCCACUACAACAAAUUAUGCAGUCGAGUUUUCCACAUUUGGGAAUAUCACAGGGGUCAGCACAUCCGGAGUGCAAUCGAUGAGCCCCACGCUGGGAAAAACCACCUUCGUGAUCAUGGUAUCUUCCCUGCCAGCAACCUAAUCACAGAGCCUCCCAGCCCGAUGCUACAAAGAGCCGCAUGCUGCCAGUUUCCUUGUGGGCAGGGACCUAUGUAUUAUAAUGGUGAAUAUAUUUAUACUUGAAUCCACAGAGAAGACACAGUAGACUAGUCAUACCAUUGGAAGGCCGGAGAACUGUAUUUCUGGCCAGAGCUGCUGCAGAAGGUCUCUGUUCGGCAUCAGGUUGGAUCAUGUUCUGAUGAUAUAGGACCAAGAGGAAAGAAACAGAAGCUUCACUAUUGGGAAAAAUCUUCCCAUUCAAGCCAACUCCAACCCAGCUUCUCCUGGUGGAUUUUUUGCCAUCGCACUAAAAAAAUAGAUAUUGCAUCUUCUGUUCAUCUCGUAAGAGCUAUCACCUUGAGCAGACUGGAAAAGCUUUCUGAGAGCUCCUGAGGAACGUCCGGAAAGUUACCCUUGCGGAUAUGGUGCCAUGCAGCACCAUUGGUGGGCAAUGACUCUGCUCCUGCAGCCACUGCAAUUGUUAAUCCCAAGGCAAAUAUGUCUGCUUUGGGAAGGUGCCGGUAAUCCUUCAAAACAGAAGACAGGAAGGCCAAGAGAAACCAAUCAGCUUCAUUUUCAACUUCUUCUAUGACUCCAGAGGAUUCACUUUGCAUCUUGUGACAAAUGAAUAUAUUACCUGAAAAAAAAAUGACAGGAUAGAUAUUGAAGAAAUAAUUUUUUAUAGGACUCUGGAGUGAAGGGAUUAAUAUUGACCAGAGCCAAUGAGGUCAUCUCAUCCUUGAGGGGAGCAGGUGUGAGCUUCAAAUGCUUAGGGCCUCUGGAAGGAAGCUUCCCUGUUGGAGAAAUCACCAACCGGCUCAGCAUGGGCUGCUUGAAGAAUCCAGGAGGCAGACAAGCCCUCGCUGACAGACUCACAGCUUUCCUGCGUGUUUAUCAUGAAGACUGAGGAUUGGUUCAAAAUAAGUGAAACUAUAAUGAUAUUUCUCAGUUAUCAAUGUGAUUUGCAAAAUGAACCUAGCAUUUUGUAGUAAGUCAUUCUGAGAAUUCGUUUUUUGUAAUGCUGAUUAUCAUAUGGAAAGUAAAACACAUCUAUUACAUAUGAAACAGUGGGUAGCCACACCUGGAAUGCAGCACAUAGUUCUAGUUGUCACAUCUCAAAGAAAGUAUAAGGGGCCUAGAAAAUAUUCAGAUAAAAAUUAUUCAUAUCAGGGAAGACAAUAUUAGAAUUUCUAGUCAGGAAAUAUGAGGGCCAAGAGAAUUUGUGAGCACCACUUAUGAUGUAGGGAAGAAUAUUAUGUUAAUAUAGUCGUUAUUGCUGGAAUAAUAGAAUUAUGAGUAACCCUUUCAAAAUCUCAAAUAACAUAGUUUGAGAUAAGACAUAUGAAAAGAACUUCUGCUUGGAAGCAGAGGAAUUUGAAAAUUUAUUGAAAGAUGACACAGGUUGAGAGUAUAAAUGUGCUCUAGAGAGGGCAAAUAAUUCCAUAAGGAAUAGCUGUAGCACAGAUGAUUGAGGGAGAUAAGGGAAAUUUGGGGGAUAGCUACUUGACUUAUGAAGAUGGUGAGAAGAGAAGGCAACCUCUCACAAAAACACAAACAUAGUAUCUUGGGACAGAGAAGGAUUUUAAAGGCCCAGUCAACAUGAUUAGUCCCUUGAUGCUUGAAUCCUGAUAUUAUUGGGAUGUUUGGAUGUUUUAAAGGCCCAGUCAAUAUGAUGAGUCCCCUGAUGCUUGAAUCCUGGUAUUAUUGGGAUGUUUGGAUGUUUUAAAGGCCCAGUCAAUAUGAUGAGUCCCCUGAUGCUUGAAUCCUGGUAUCAUUUGGAUAUCAUGUUGAAAUAUAAUCCCCAGUGCUGGAGGUAGGGCCUGGUGGGUGGCAUUUGGAUUACAGAGGUAGAUUCCUUGGUGCCAUCCUCAUGGUAAUGAACCAGUUCUCACUUUGUUAGUUCACACCAGAUCUGGUUGUUUAAAAUGAGCCUGACACUUCCUUCCUGUCUUGCUUCCACUGUCUCACUUUUUCUCUCACCAUGUAACAAGCUGCCUUGUUUCUGUCCACCUUCUGCCAUGACUGUCAACUUCCUGAGGCCCUCACCAGAAGCAGAUACAGGCAAUAUGCUUACUGUACAGCCUGCAGAACUGUAAGCCAAAUAAACCUCUUUUCUUUAUAAU